GCGCUCGUAGCUCAGCUGGAUAGAGCGCCGGACUUCGAAUCCGUAGGUCGCAGGUUCGAAUCCUGCCGGGCGCA
rnacentral:tRNA from 1 species